rnacentral:rRNA from 1 species
GACGAACGCUGGCGGCGUGCCUAAUACAUGCAAGUCGAACGCAGUUGCGAACGGGUGAGUAACGCGUAGGUAACCUGCCUCAUAGCGGGGGAUAACUUUUGGAAACGAUAGCUAAUACCGCAUACUGUGAGAUGGACCUGCGUUUUAUUAGCUAGUUGGGGAGGUAAAGGCUCACCAAGGCGACGAUACAUAGCCGACCUGAGAGGGGGAUAGGCCACACGGGAACGUAGACACGGCCCAGACUCCUACGUGAGGCAGCAGUGGGGAAUAUUGGACAAUGGGCGCAAGCAUGAUGCAGCCAUGCCGCGUGUAUGAAGAAGGCCUUGGGGUUGUAAAGUACUUUCAGCGAGGAGGCGUUACUCGCAGAAGAAGCACCGGCUAACUACGUGCCAGCAGCCGCGGUAAUAC